GGCUCAGAAUGAACGCUGCGGCAUGGAUAGGCAUGCAAGUCGAACGAGAAAGCGCCCUCGGGCGACGAGUAAAGUGGCGAAAGGGUGAGUAACACGUGAGGAACCUGCCCCCUAGGCCCGGAAACAAGCCUGUGAAAAACGGGUCUGAAACCGGAUGAGGCCCCUUCCCGCAUGGGAAGUCAGCCAAAUAUUCAUAGCCAAGGGAUGGCCUCGCGGCCCAUUAGCUAGUUGCGGGGUGACGGCCCACCAAGGCUACGACGGGUAGGUGGUCUGAGAGGAUGGUCACCCACACUGGGACUGAGACACUGCCCAGACUCCUACGGGAGGCUGCAGUCGAGAAUCUUCCGCAAUGGGCGCAAGCCUGACGGAGCGAUGCCGCGUGAGGGACGAAGGCCUUCGGGUCGUAAACCUCUGUCGAGGGGAACGAACGCAAUGACGGUACCCCUCAAGAAAGCCACGGCUAACCACGUGCCAGCAGCCGC
rnacentral:rRNA from 1 species